rnacentral:misc_RNA from 1 species
AAGUCGUAACAAGGUAUCCGUAGGUGAACCUGCGGAUGGAUCAUUACCAAUUUUAUAUGUUAGUUUGCCUGUGGCUUCUGUCACGGGUAUUAACUACUAUGUAAACGUUGAACUAGAUCAAUUGGUGUGGAUUGCUUGGGAAUGGACGAAGCGACAAGCCUCUUCCGGACAGGCAAGCCCCACACUGAUAACCUUUUUCAUAUCAUUUACUCGUACAUACUACAAACAAACAAACAAAAAGCUAUAAUAGGACUUAUAAACAGGCUGAGUGGGUAAAAUCCUCGGCUUAUCAAUAUAACUAUUACAACUUUCAACAACGGAUCUCUUGGCUCUC